rnacentral:misc_RNA from 1 species
GAUGAAGAACGCAGCAAAAUGCGAUAAGUAAUGUGAAUUGCAGAAUUCCGUGAAUCAUCGAAUCUUUGAACGCACAUUGCGCCCUCUGGUAUUCCGGGGGGCAUGCCUGUCCGAGCGUCAUUUGCAACCCUCAAGCCCGGCUUGUGUGAUGGGUGCCGUCCCCUACGGGACGCGCCCCGAAGGCAAUGGCGGCGUCGCGGUUAUCCGAUCAGCCAAAGUGUAUGGGGCUUUGUCACUCACUUUACGGCCCGGACCGGCGCCAGUCCGAAUCAAUCUUUUUUUCUAAAGUUGACCUCGGAUCAGGUAGGGAUACCCGCUGAACUUAAGCAUAUCAAUAAGCGGAGGA